rnacentral:rRNA from 1 species
UACGUAGGUGGCAAGCGUUAUCCGGAAUUAUUGGGCGUAAAGAGCGCGCAGGUGGUUGAUUAAGUCUGAUGUGAAAGCCCACGGCUUAACCGUUGAGGGUCAUUGGAAACUGGUCGACUUGAGUGCAGAAGAGGGAAGUGGAAUUCCAUGUGUAGCGGUGAAAUGCGUAGAGAUAUGGAGGAACACCAGUGGCGAAGGCGGCUUCCUGGUCUGUAACUGACACUGAGGCGCGAAAGCGUGGGGAGCAAACAGGAUUAGAUA